rnacentral:rRNA from 1 species
GACGAACGCUGGCGGCGUGCCUAAUACAUGCAAGUCGAACGCUUCUUUCCUCCCGAGUGCUUGCACUCAAUUGGAUAGAGGAGUGGCGGACGGGUGAGUAACACGUGGGUAACCUACCCAUCAGAGGGGGAUAACACUUGGAAACAGGUGCUAAUACCGCAUAACAGUUUAUGCCGCAUGGCAUAAGAGUGAAAGGCGCUUUCGGGUGUCGCUGAUGGAUGGACCCGCGGUGCAUUAGCUAGUUGGUGAGGUAGCGGCUCACCAAGGCCACGAUGCAUAGCCGACCUGAGAGGGUGAUCGGCCACACUGGGACUGAGACACGGCCCAGACUCCUACGGGAGGCAGCAGUAGGGAAUCUUCGGCAAUGGACGGAAGUCUGACCGAGCAACGCCGCGUGAGUGAAGAAGGUUUUCGGAUCGUAAAACUCUGUUGUUAGAGAAGAACAAGGACGUUAGUAACUGAACGUCCCCUGACGGUAUCUAACCAGAAAGCCACGGCUAACUACGUGCCAGCCGCCGCAGUAA